rnacentral:rRNA from 1 species
GACGAACGCUGGCGGCGUGCUUAAUACAUGCAAGUCGAACGGAAAGGCCCUGCUUUUGUGGGGCGCUCGAGUGGCGAACGGGUGAGUAACACGCGAGUAACAUGCCCCUGACAUUGGGAUAACUUCAGGAAACUGGGGCUAAUACCGGAUAGGAGCUACUGCUGCAUGGUGGGGGAUGGAAAGUUUCGGCGGUUGGGGCUGGACUCGAGGGUUAUCAGCUUGUUGGGGGGGUUGUGGCUUACCAAGGCUUUGAAGGGUACCCGGCCUGGGAGGGUGACCGGCCACAUUGGGACUGAGGUACGGCCCAGACUCCUACGGUAGGCAGCAGUGGGGAAUAUUACACAAUAGGCGGAAGCCUGAUGCAGCAAUGCCGCGUGCGGGAUAACGUCCUUCGAGUGGUGAACCGCUUUCGCCUGUGACAAAGCGUGAGUGACGGUAAUGGGUAAGGAAGCACCGGCUAACUACGUG